rnacentral:pre_miRNA from 1 species
UUCUGUUGUCCUUCAUUCCACCGGAGUCUGUCUCGUAGCCAUCCAGAUUUCAGUGGAGUGAAGCACAAGAGACA